GUGGGGAAUAUUGCGCAAUGGGGGAAACCCUGACGCAGCAAUACCGCGUGAGUGAAGAAGGUUUUCGGAUCGUAAAACUCUUUUAUUGGGGAAGAAGAAGUGACGGUACCCAAUGAAGAAGUCCCGGCUAACUACGUGCCAGCAGCCGCGGUAAUACGUAGGGGACAAGCGUUGUCCGGAAUCACUGGGCGUAAAGGGCGCGGAGGCGGUUUUAUAAGUCAGAUGUGAAAGGUACCGGCUCAACCGGUGACGUGCAUUUGAAACUGUAAGACUUGAGUACUGGAGAGGCAAGUGGAAUUCCUAGUGUAGCGGUGAAAUGCGUAGAUAUUAGGAGGAACACCGGUGGCGAAGGCGGCUUGCUGGACAGAUACUGACGCUGAGGUGCGAAAGCGUGGGGAGCGAACAGGAUUAGAAACCCGUGUAGUCC
rnacentral:rRNA from 1 species